CUCUACAGAUGGGAAAUAAACAGCCUGUUUCCAACCCACAUAAAACACAGAUGCCUCCCAAACCACAGGUUUGCCCUGGACACUUGCGACAGUCACGCCAGCUGUCUGUGUUGUUCCUUUCCACAGAUCUACCCACAGACGAGGUCUGCACCACCUACUAUAUGUCAAGACAAAGGAAAGAGGGAGAACCCAUGAAGACUCUAGAUAUCAACAAUGACGUAAAGACUUCUGGAUGCCUCGAAAGCCUGGCACUAAGAAGUUGCAGAGUAGAAGGCAGAGAAGACCUACCAGUCUAUGGCUACCUCCAUAAAAACAUCUAAUCUUUACAACUACAAAAAAAAAAAAAAAAAGUCAACGACAAAUGAGAAGCCAGCGGCGACACUGGACACUGUGUUAUUCUGGCGCCUGAUCCUUUUUAAGUGAGUUUUCUAUUUUAAGAGCUGGGAUGUCAAUAGUGCUUAAUUUAAUCAGCUUCUCAUAGGUU
rnacentral:lncRNA from 1 species